rnacentral:rRNA from 1 species
GGGAAAGUUGAAAAGAACUUUGAAGAGAGAGUUCAAUAGUACGUGAAACCUCUCGGGGGUAAGCGGGCAGAACUUGCAAGUAUUGGCAAGAGAUUCAGACUUGAGUUUAGUGGUUGAGUACUUUUGUUAAGUUGUUCAUUCGUGAACUGACUGAUGUAUGUACUUUAAUCUAUUAAAAAUGUGUCGCACUUCUCUUUGUCAUCCGGGUUGCAUGCAACUGAUUUUGGUAGUUUAGGUUUUGAGAAUCUGUGCGUCAAUCAUUCGUGAUUGAUUCAAGUCUUAAAUUUCCAACUACUAAUGCGGUUGUAAGAAAAUAGCGAACAAGCGUUUGACGCGGUCAAUUAUAUUUACGAGUCGUGUACGUACUUUAUAUGGACAAGUAAUUGUAGUAUUUUGUAUGUACUGGUUGUCAGUAAAUGUAAUUUUGGCAUUGUUCAGUAUUG